CACUCCGGUGGCUUAGUGGUUAGAGCAUCUGCCUCGGAUGCGGGUGGUCUUGGGUUCGAUUCCCGGUCGAGUCA